GAGCUGACCGCUGCCCCUGCUUCUCUGAAGGCAGGCGAAGGGCCCCGUCUGUCCCCAGCACUGUAGCUGUUGGCGCAAAGCGUAAAGGGCUGAAGCUUUGGACAUUUCCCAACCUUAACGGCAAGAACGGCUCCCCGUUGAUAACAGCGUGCGUAAGGUCCGUGCUGUUAGUCAGACACACGGAAGGGAUGUUGCUGAGGAAACCCGGUUGAUAAAAUUGUCCUCAAGUGUGACUGAAACCCACCCUUCCCCUCCGAGCCAAAAGGAGAAGAGUGAAGUAAAGAUAAAGCGGGCCCGGGGGGCACGUCUGAGCCAAGCCUUCCAGGAAGGAUGCCUCCACACUGUGUGUGCCACAGCUAUUGCACUUUACACCAGGCAGCUGAAGAACUAGAAAGAAAACAAUUACAGUAAUAGUUAAAAGACCCAGCUGUGCCCUACCAUAGGCUUAUUACAGCCCGUGAAAGUUAUUAUUGAAUCAAAUUUAAUGUAGACUUUGAGUUAAUUAAGCAUAGGCUGGAGUAAAAAAAAAAAAGUUACAGCUAGCUUCUAAUAAGUUUAGUAAUGCUGUCAAAAACUCAUGCUUAAGGGAAAAAAAAUUAAUCCCAUUUUAUAUUCUUAAUCAUUUUCAUUAAUAACUUGACACACUAGCAGUGCGGUUGUGGCGAUUCACACAGACUGCAUUUCACAACCCUGUACCUCCAUGG